AACGAACGCUGGCGGCAGGCCUAACACAUGCAAGUCGAACGCCGUAGCAAUACGGAGUGGCAGACGGGUGAGUAACACGUGGGAACAUACCCUUCGGUUCGGAAUAACUCAGGGAAACUUGAGCUAAUACCGGAUACGUCCGCGAGGAGAAAGAUUCAUCGCCGGAGGAUUGGCCCGCGUCUGAUUAGCUUGUUGGUGAGGUAACGGCUCACCAAGGCGACGAUCAGUAGCNGGUCUGAGAGGAUGAUCAGCCACAUUGGGACUGAGACACGGCCCAAACUCCUACGGGAGGCAGCAGUGGGGAAUAUUGGACAAUGGGCGCAAGCCUGAUCCAGCCAUGCCGCGUGAGUGAUUGAAGGCCCUAGGGUUGUAAAGCUCUUUUACCCGGGAAGAUAAUGACUGUACCGGGNGAAUAAGCCCCGGCUAACUUCGUGCCAGCCGCCGCCGUAAU
rnacentral:rRNA from 1 species